CCCUUAGAUGUCCGGGGCCGCACGCGCGCUACACUGAAGGAAUCAGCGUGGCUUUCUCCCUGACCCGAAAGGGUUGGGAAACCCGUUGAAUCUCCUUCGUGAUAGGGAUUGGGGCUUGAAAUUGUUCCCCAUGAACGAGGAAUUCCCAGUAAGCGCGAGUCAUAAGCUCGCGUUGAUUACGUCCCUGCCCUUUGUACACACCGCCCGUCGCUCCUACCGAUUUUGAGUGAUCCGGUGAACCUUUUGGACUGCGGUGUCUUCAUGGCACUCGUGGGAAGUUAAGUAAACCUUAUCACUUAGAGGAAGGAGAAGUCGUAACA
rnacentral:rRNA from 1 species